GAAAUAAUUAAAUAGUUAAGCUUCUAACUUAAUUUCUAAAUGAUUAAAUUCAUUUUUAUUUUA
rnacentral:tRNA from 1 species